rnacentral:rRNA from 1 species
AUUGAACGCUGGCGGCAUGCCUUACACAUGCAAGUCGAACGGCAGCGGACCUUCGGGUGCCGGCGAGUGGCGAACGGGUGAGUAAUAUAUCGGAACGUACCUUUCAGUGGGGGAUAACGUAGCGAAAGUUACGCUAAUACCGCAUAUUCUGUGAGCAGGAAAGCAGGGGAUCGCAAGACCUUGCGCUGAUUGAGCGGCCGAUAUCAGAUUAGCUAGUUGGUGAGGUAAAGGCUCACCAAGGCGACGAUCUGUANCGGGUCUGAGAGGAUGAUCCGCCACACUGGAACUGAGACACGGUCCAGACUCCUACGGGAGGCAGCAGUGGGGAAUUUUGGACAAUGGGCGCAAGCCUGAUCCAGCCAUGCCGCGUGAGUGAAGAAGGCCUUCGGGUUGUAAAGCUCUUUCGGCCGGGAAGAAAUCGCACAGGUUAAUACCCUGUGUGGAUGACGGUACCGGAAUAAGAAGCACCGGCUAACUACGUG